rnacentral:rRNA from 1 species
GACUCCAUGAAGCUGGAUUCGCUAGUAAUCGCGCAUCAGCCAUGGCGCGGUGAAUACGUUCCCGGGCCUUGUACACACCGCCCGUCACACCAUGAGAGUCGGGAACACCCGAAGUCCGUAGUCUGACCGCAAGGGGGACGCGGCCGAAGGUGGGUUCGAUAAUUGGGGUGAAGUCGUAACAAGGUACC